UUAAUCAGGAAAUGGACUCUACAAGGUGUAGAAAGUGUUCCACAGGGAUGCUGGCCCAUGUUGACUCUACAAGGUGUCUAAAGCGUUCCACAGGGAUGCUGGCCCAUGUUGACUCUACAAGGUGUCUAAAGCGUUCCACAGGGAUGCUGGCCCAUGUUGACUCUACAAGGUGUCUAAAGCGUUCCACAGGGAUGCUGGCCCAUGUUGACUCUACAAGGUGUUGAAAGCGUUCCACAGGGAUGCUGGCCCAUGUUGACUCUACAAGGUGUCUAAAGCGUUCCACAGGGAUGCUGGUCCAUGUUGACUCUACAAGGUGUCUAAAGCGUUCCACAGGGAUGCUGGCCCAUGUUGACUCUACAAGGUGUCUAAAGCGUUCCACAGGGAUGCUGGUCCAUGUUGACUCUACAAGGUGUCUAAAGCGUUCCACAGGGAUGCUGGUCCAUGUUGACUCUACAAGGUGUCUAAAGCGUUCCACAGGGAUGCUGGUCCAUGUUGACUCUACAAGGUGUUGAAAGCGUUCCACAGGGAUGCUGGCCCAUGUUGACUCUACAAGGUGUUGAAAGCGUUCCACAGGGAUGCUGGCCCAUGUUGACUCUACAAGGUGUUGAAAGCGUUCCACAGGGAUGCUGGCCCAUGUUGACUCUACAAGGUGUUGAAAGCGUUCCACAGGGAUGCUGGCCCAUGUUGACUCUACAAGGUGUCUAAAGCGUUCCACAGGGAUGCUGGCCCAUGUUGACUCUACAAGGUGUUGAAAGCGUUCCACAGGGAUGCUGGCCCAUGUUGACUCUACAAGGUGUCUAAAGCGUUCCACAGGGAUGCUGGCCCAUGUUGACUCUACAAGGUGUCUAAAGCGUUCCACAGGGAUGCUGGCCCAUGUUGACUCUACAAGGUGUGGAAAGCGUUCCACAGGGAUGCUGGCCCAUGUCGACUCCAAUGCUUCCCACAGUUGUGUCAAGUUGUCUGGAUGUGUUUUGGCUGGUGGACCAUUCUCGAUACACACGGGAAACUGUUGAGUGUGAAAAACCCAGCAGCGUU